rnacentral:rRNA from 1 species
UUAAGAGUUUGAUCCUGGCUCAGGACGAACGCUGGCGGCGUGCUUAACACAUGCAAGUCGAACGAAGAUACAGAUUAACACUGAGCGCCCGGUUUGGGGCGGGUGGAAGCGCAAGCGUUUUUGCGAGGCAACACAACAAGGUGGCGAAUAUCCAUGUAAACUGAAGCAGGGUGGAUGGUAAGCCUUGAUGCCGAGCAACACGCGUAAAUAAAGUGCUAACACAUCACCACACAGAAUAGUGUGGUGUGUGGAAGCGCGAGAGUGCUAACACGGAAUCGGGGAACUGACACAAGGCCUCGCCUCGGGGGCUGAGUGUUAAUCUGUAGACUGAGUGGCGGACGGGUGAGUAACGCGUGAGCAACCUGCCCUUCAGAGGGGGACAACAGCCGGAAACGGCUGCUAAUACCGCAUAAGACCACGGUAUCGCAUGACACUGGGGUAAAAGGAGAAAUUCACUGAAGGAUGGGCUCGCGUCCCAUUAGGUAGAUGGUGAGGUAACGGCUCACCAUGCCGACGAUGGGUAGCCGACCUGAGAG